CAGGCUGUAAGUGUUUCAAUUCAUUUUUAUAACAAGCAUUCUUGACAGCACAGGUAAUUUAAUAGAAAUAAAAUAAAGUCAGAAGGUCUGUGUUCUAGGCAUGACUUACAAAGUAAGUGAAUAGGUGAAUUUUGGUAAAUCAUAAAAUAUUUAUUGGCAUUGGUAUCAACACCAACUAAUGACUGAAUUAAAAUAUGUGAGCUUACAUUUUAAAGUUGUGGAAAUAUAUGAAUUUAAACAAAUAAUCAGUUUUUGAGAAAUAACAAAAUAAUAACUUAUUAACGGUAAAAAUAAAACUGGAUUCUAAAUGCUUUUGACUUUUUGGCAAACAUUGUGAAUAUUAAAUAUAGAAAAUUCAUUCAAAUGAAUAUUUAUUCAUGAAUUUUGUUUAAUAAAUAUGUUGUAUUGCCUAUUCAUAGAAUCUUUGACACAAUUGAAUUGUGUAGGUUAUUCUUAAAGGUGUAGACCAUGUUGAAGAGUGAAUCAUUUUUUAUAAAAGUUCUUCUAAGGGUAUUAAUCUAAGAGCUUUACAUUUGUAGCAUCAGGGCAUAUGCAUAUGUUUCUCUAGUCCAUUUAGACUGCUAUAACAAAAUCUUAUCAACUUGGUAGACUGUAAACAAUAGAAAUUUACUUUUCACAAUUCUGAAGGCUAUGAAGUCCAAGAUCAAGGCACCUGCAGAUUUGAUGUCUGGUGAGGCUUGUUGUUUGGUUCACAGAUAGCACCUUCUUGCUGUGUCCUCGCAUGGUAGAAAGGGCAGGGCAACUCUCUGGGGCUUCUUUUAUAAGGACACUAAUCCCAUUCAUGAGGGCCCUGCUACCCUUGCCUUAUUAUCUCCCAAAGCCCCCAUCUCCUAAUACCAUCACAUUCGUG
rnacentral:lncRNA from 1 species